CCUACGGGCGGCUGCAGUGGGGAAUAUUGGGCAAUGGAGGCAACUCUGACCCAGCAACGCCGCGUGAAUGAUGAAGGUCUUCGGAUUGUAAAGUUCUGUGAUGGGGGAUGAACACAAUGAUGGUACCCCAAUAGCAAGCCACGGCCAACUACGUGCCAGCCGCCGCGGUAAUACGUAGGUGGCAAGCGUUAUGCGGAAUGACUGGGCGUAAAGGGUGCGUAGGUGGUUCAGUAAGUUAGCGGUGUAAUUCCGGGGCUCAACCUCGGCGCUACCGCCAAAACUAUUAGACUAGAGUGCAGGAGGGGUAGGUGGAAUUCCUAGUGUAGCGGUGGAAUGCGUAGAUAUUAGGAGGAACAUCAGGGGCGAAGGCGACUUGCUGGACUGUAACUGACGCUGAGGCACGAAGGCGUGGGGAGCAAACAGGAUUAGAUACCCUGGUAGUC
rnacentral:rRNA from 1 species